CGAUUCAGGUACAGUCGAGUCAACGACCUCUAAUAUGCGCAAGAAAUUUCCGCAACAAAAAGAUAUCGUUUGCCGGAUGUAGGAGAGAAAAACUGAAAAGUCUGCCAAGGUGAUACAGUGAUUGUUGAUGUAAAAAAUAAUCUUGAUCACAUCGAUUUCAUCUUCACGGCUACUCCUUACGAAAGGUGGCGAUGGAGCGCGUCGCCAGUAGUGUGACCAUGGUGUGACUGUUGACCAGAUUCGAGCCAUGGAUGAAAAUGGAUUAAUCCGCAGGAAUUUAGUCGAUGCUCCCAAGAAAGACACGGUUCCUAUACCUGAUGGUGGAUAUACAAUCACUCGUUUUAUGGCAACUAAUCCAGGCUACUGGCUGUUCCAUUGUCACCUGGAGUUCCACAUUGACAUCGGAAUGGGACUCAUUUUCAAAGUUGGCGGACACGAAGAAUUUCCGCCCGUUCCAGAAAGUUUCCCGUCUUGUGGUGAUUGGCUUAUUUAACGGAAAAAUCAUAAGAGUUAAGUAGAAUUCGAGAAAUUAUUCUGAAUUGUAUUCUUUGGACAUGACUUAAACAUUGUGAAUUGAUUUCACUUUGGUUUUUAUUGCUUUGAAAUACGUAAUGAGGCCGUUUCGAACUAGGGAGAUUUUCGACUUAAUAGUUAGCGUCUUGUGCAC